rnacentral:lncRNA from 1 species
AGGACCCGAUCCAAAUUCCACUUUGGAAUCCGAGCCAGACCCUGUGCGUGUCCGACACCUGGCGAAUGUCGGGCACAAAUGAUCUAUUUGCCCUUCUAUACAAACAUGCUAAAAAUAAUAAGGUUGACUUCUACCGAAAAACCGGCAGAGUUUCCCUUGUAUCUGGCUCAAUACCAAAAUCUUACACCUGUCAAAACAAGUAUAUAUGUACAACCAACUGCCAGCAUACAUAUAUAUAUUCCAACAGUUCAAAUCUCAGUCUAGGGCAAAACAUCAGAGCGACUACUAAAAAUUUACAAAAGAGUGAAUCUUUGUACAAAAUACAAAUCCUACAUCAAAGAAAGGCGCGGAAGAUGGGAAGUGGCCCGGUGGUGGAUUCCUGUGCACGUCUACUGCCUGGGGGCGCAAAACAACAAGAAGGGUGAGUGGACCCAAAAACAAAGUUAAGAAAAUACUAUAUGAACAUACUAACCCCACUGUAAAAACAGUUAUACAAACUAGCUUAUUUUCUUUAUUUCUAAAAUCAAUGCAUGUAUAUAACUAUACAUUUGAAAACACUUUAAAACUAUCACCGAGGUGUACCCUAUUUCCGUCAAUUCCUUAUAUCCGUCAAUUCCUUGCAUCACCAUGGGUGGCGCAUACUCGCAGGUCUCAGUGACAAGAGGUCAGUCUGAGCCGCAACUCGCAGGAUUCAAGGAACCGUAGUCCGUCUUUAUCCGCAUUACUCGCUCCACACGAGUUCGAGUACCAAGGAACUCGUGGGGCAACUGUCAAGCAUGCUGACUAAACCGAAGGCAACAAAUAUAAUCCGAAGGCAACAUGUAAUAACUGGGUACAAGGUGGUUUAAGAAAAUAUAAAGUUUCUGAAGAAAAUCUUAUGAAUAAUUAACUUUCUGUAACCUUUAAAAUUCUGCUGCCAUUUAUCUGAUAAUUAACGAGAAUAUCUUUUCGUAUAUUCUUAAAAGGAAACUUCACUCGGCAGCAUGUAACAUAAAAUAUUUAACAGCAUAAAACAGCUUAUAACUGAAACUGAACUGCUUAACUGAAACUGAACUGAUUAAAUUCAUUUAUAAAAACAAAGAGUCCACUCACUGAUAGUCUGAGCUCGCUGGACCUCUUGAAGGUCCCUCCUGCGGGUCAACUGGUGCCCGGGUGCCUGAUUCAAUGACCAUAAUAUUCUAUUAAUACAAUAUAGUAUUAAAUUAAAAACCCUACCCCCGGCUCCUAAAAGUACGUGCGUCAAUUUAAAGUGAUCCCUAUGCCCAUAACAGCUCUCCUUCCACGUGGGAUAGUUUAGCGAUAUCUUGGGACUCAAAAAGCGCUAAAGUCCAAAAAGUCAAUCCGGAACCCCACGGGUAUAAUAUGAUCCGGAUGCCGCUAAAAGGUCCAAUAUAUUUAGGACACAUGUCCCGAGGGUAUUGGUGUCAAUCGGACGGUCGGAUUGAUCACGAUCGUGUAAUCACAUAAUUUCUAAACCCUAGCCCUAGGGUUCGCGAUUUCGGAGUAUCCGGGACUCCGAUUCGCCAUCCGUCGAAUCCUACACAAUCCUGAAAUCAUGUAGACCGACAUAUCCAAAAUUCAGUGUGAUCCACCGAUUUGGCGACACUGCACCCAAAGAUCGCGCGAUAUGAAAAAUCCGUUCGGGGCUCAAACGAACUCCGAAUCGAGAUCCGCGAAAUCCUACGUGCUCGUGACGACACGAGGGUCACAAAACUGUACAACAUGACUUCACCACCCUCGCCCAUGCGCCCCAGCGCGCGGGCAGAUUCGGGUGUCUUAAGCGAUUUCGGGUGGCCGAAAAAUCUCGGAACCAGGACUCCAAACUCUUAUCCUAGGUAAAACACCCCAUUUGGAGUCACUUUUGUUCUUGGACCUACCCCAAAAAGUGACUGGAAGUGGCCGAAAACAGAGGCCGAAAAUCGGCUGAAACUUCAAUUUAUAAACUGGGCAAUCUACGGCUAAAAUUGAUAAAAACCUAUCCAACCAUCAGCUAGAGCACGAAAAAUAGAUGAGAAUCCAUACCUUACUCGAAAGAUUUGGUUGAGAAUUGAGGGAGAACGAAGGGUUGGAAGUUUAGCCCAAAAACUGGCGGUUUUCUCCUUUUUCCGGCCAACUCCGGUCAGCUCGUGGGCGGAGAACGAUCAGGUCUUGACGGCGAGGGCGUGGCGGAGCUAUUGGUACCAACGCCGGAGAUUGGCGUGCCCUGUGGUGGCCGCUGUCUCAAUUGGAAGGGAGGAGGGUGGCUGGCGCGACGGGAGGGAGGAGAGAGAGAGAGGAG